UCUUACGGAUGAGCAAAGAGAGUGGUUUCCUGAGCUGGACUCUACUCCCAGUGAAGAUGCUGUGAA
rnacentral:pre_miRNA from 1 species